GCUGGUUCAUGGGGCGUUCACCUCCGCAGGCC
rnacentral:scRNA from 1 species